GAUUGGUUGAAAAUGAAGGAUUAUGCCUAGCGAGGUUGGUUCCCUCUUCUCUCGAAUCUUCUCAACAUCAAACUCACCAUUUUCUCUACUUCCUUUGCUCCAUCAUCUUCCAUCCAUGUCGAUUUCCACCAAAAUUCCUCAUCCUCUCCUUCAUCACCCUAAUUCACCAUACCCCAAAACCUCAAAAUCCUCAUUUUUAUACUCAACACCCUCUAAAUUAACCUUCUUUAGAUCCAUUACCAUUGAAAGAAUUUCAACAAAAUCUGUUUCUGCAACCCCAGAAGCAGCAGGAGCAGGUGCAGCUUCAGAAUCCUCUUCUUCAUCUCUCCAACCCAUUGAAGAGCUUCCGCCGAAGCUUCAAGAAAUCGUCAAGCUUUUUCAAGCAGUUGAACUACCAAAGGCUAAAUACGAGCAACUGUUGUUUUACGGCAAGAAUUUAAAACCACUUGAUACCCAGUACAAGACUAGUGAAAAUAAGGUUCAGGGUUGUGUUUCACAGGUUUGGGUUAGGGCGUAUUUUGAUUCUGAGAAAAAUGUUGUAUUUGAGGCUGAUUCUGAUUCGGUACUUACUAAAGGUCUUGCUGCUCUGUUAGUUCAGGGACUUUCUGGAAGACCUGUAGAAGAGAUUUUAAAAGUUUCCCCUGAUUUUGCUGUACUUUUAGGGUUGCAACAAAGCUUAACUCCUUCUAGGAAUAAUGGGUUUUUGAAUAUGUUGAAGUUAAUGCAGAAAAAAGCACUUCAGUUGUAUGUUGAAGCUGAGAAAGGUGCUAAUUUAGGCCAGAGUGAAAUAUCGAAUGCCUCGUCGACUGAGUCUCACGAUGUUAAUGGUAAUGGAAAUGUUGAGUCUAUUGCCAGUCCUGAAGUUAAUGGAAACAAUGCAACUGUUGGUGCUAGUGAUGAUGGUGUUUUGAGGAGUAGAGGGAUGAGAAUCAAGGAGAAAUUGGAGAAGGAACUUAGGCCUGUUGAACUAGAAGUUGAAGAUAUAUCUUACCAGCACGCAGGACACGCGGGGAUUAGAGGUAGUGAUGGAGAGACACACUUUAAUUUAAAAGUGGUGUCUGAGGAAUUUGAAGGCAAGAGUUUGGUUAAGAGGCAUAGGAUGAUUUAUGGUUUACUGCAAGAUGAGUUGCAGAAUGGACUACACGCAUUGUCAAUUGUGGCCAAGACACCGUCUGAAGUUGGUAGUAGUUGAAUUGCUGGCGUCAAGAGAGAUGGUUCUGUAACGUGUCUUUCAGUGACAUAACUUUCAAUUUACAUCAAAGGUCUAACUAUCUGAGUUCCAAUGUGACCUUUUCCUUGGCUGCUAGAUCAUACAAUGAUAGAAAUGCAAGAGAAUACAAUAAACCCCUACCCUCUACUGGAUGUCAAUGUCGGGGCUCAACAACGAUGAAGAGGCAGCUCCUAACUUGUGGUGUCGUCGUGGGUAGCUCUUAUGUUCAGACUCUAGGAAAGAAGACAA